CGUCAAGCGUUCUUAAAGGAAGGUCAUACGCCAGUUAAACUCUGCCGUUUUGCCUCUUAGCGUGCAUGCCUGAGCCCAUUUGCCCAACUCCUGAGAUCUUAUUGGGAAGCUGCUGAUCACCAGCUUCAGCUGUUUUCUAUCUAUUGGGAGCCGGCCUGUCCCUGGCACCAGCUGCAACCAAUUACUGUUUUAGAGAGACAGUUUAACAACAGCCUGGCCAUCACCUGAUGGUCGCCUGACAUUCCUGGGGCCAAGCGGGGGCUUCUCCUGCCCUGCUCAUGUCUGCUUAAGUACCUACUCUAAAAAUUCCAAGUUGCAGCAAAAGAAUCCCAGCAACAUAUUUCAUAUUGAGACAUUAGCGACAGCAGCACUGUGACCAAGUAAUGGGGCUGGAGGGGACCAAAAAAUAAGAGCCUCCCUUCUGCCCUAUUCUUCCCAGAAUAGAGAGAAUCGGGAAGACUGUGGACCACAUGUCUCCAGUUCCAUUUUCCUGAGCUUACACCUUUCAAUAAGCCCACUCCACCCUGGGGUAGAGGAAGAAGGCUGGCAGGAACAGCCAGCAAAACAGAAAUACUGUCUCCAUCCUCUUUUCUCCUACGUUUGUCCUCUUCUGUCCAGACUAUCUGGAAACCAGACAACACUCACCAACCCCAUCAAAACUGUGCCCAGGCUGCUGACCACAGAGACCACUUCCUCAUCGCGGAGAUGCCUGAAGUCCAGUAACCUUUUCUUUGGCCAAAUUACAAGGUUCCUUAGAAGUAAACUUUCCUAACAACAUGCUGAUCUUUCCUCUAAUGAUCAGUCUAAAUACUACCUUCCUCAUGUCAUUUAUAAGUGCUCCAUAGGAGAACGGGGCACUGAAAAGGGCUUGAUCUAACCACACCUCAACCGUCUCCUCCCUGUGUUUACUCUGCCAGUUCAACUGCAAAGAAAUAAGCUAACAAACAGAAUCUCUUUCAAGGCUCUUGUGUCCUUUGUAAGCAAGUCAGUCACGAAUGGAAUGCAUCUCAAAUUUAAUUUACUGAUGGCAUGUAUUAGAAUGAGGUCAGAAUGUGAUUUUUCAAAAUGUUAAAUCAUUUUGUCUAUUUUCCACACUAAAGCAUCUUUUCAACCAUUAUAUUCACUUAAAAUUAUGUUAUGUAACUAUUCUCUUUAAAUACCAAGAGUAAUUAUUAUAACUUUUAAAAAGGUAGAAUACGGACCUAUAAUUUUUUCUUAUAAUAGGCCAUUUCUAAAAGAAAGCAAAGUGAUUUGUGUGUCACACAGAUAGAGAGUGUACCUUUUAGGAUUGAAAUGGAGCUGUGAAAAGAAAAAGAAAAACCAGGCUAUGUACCACCACUAAUCCUUCUUAUUUUCAUUCUUGGUUGGGGAAGGGGGUGAAAGAGGAGCAGCUAGGCAUCAGUUCAAGUUUAGCUCCUGGCUCAGAAAUAGGGCAACAGGAUGGGGAGACCUAAAGCCACCAAAAGAAGAUCCAGGGUGCUCUGAACACAACUUCCUCAGAUGCCCAUCCCAAACACAGUGCUAAAUUUCAUCUUCUCAUAGCCUACUAUGCUUAUUUCUGUCUGUGGUUUUGGCUUCACUCUACAGAGUAAGGCAACUGCAUCAUCUUCACAUACGGUUGUGAACUGUAGGCUCAUCUUUGUCUUAAUCUCUUGAUAAAUAAAAU
rnacentral:lncRNA from 10 species